AACGAAAACAGGGAGAAAGGAAAGAAAAGAAAAGGGAAGGAAAGAAAGAAAAUUUGAGGUUUCAAGGUUUCAAGCUUAAUUGCUAAUGUCGUGCAAGAGUCAUUGCCGAGAAAGGAAAGGGGAAGGUGAUCAAGGAGUGACUCGAGAAAAUUUACGUAUCCCGUAACUCGAUUUCAGCGACGGGGACGGGUGAGGGGUUUUACAUGUUGAGCUAGUGGAGGGAUUAAUCGAACAUAUACAAUUAGGCUCGAGUAAUCGCAAUUAUGUCCAGAAGCAUCGUUUUGAUAAUUUGCAAUUUAUUUAAUCAUGGAGUCAGCCCACAAGAAGUACCAUGAUUGAAAACUCCUUGUUGUAUACUAUUUACGAAAGCAAUUCAUUCAACUGCUUUAUCCAAUGAUCUCGUCAUGUGUGUGUUACCUUCAUAUGACAUCAUUGAUUCUUUUGAGUUAAAUUUGUUCACUCAAUACCAUCCUAUUUUAUCUUAUUGUCA